ensembl:lncRNA
UGGGCAGGCAGGUAAGGUAGCAGAGGGUAGGUUAGGUAAUAGUGGGCAGGUAGAAGAGGUUAGGUAAGUAGUGGGCAGGUAAGGUAGGAUAGGUUAGGUAAGUAGUGGGUAGACAGGUAAGUAGUGGGCAGGCAGGUAAGGUAGGAGAGGGUAGGUUAGGUAAGUAGUGGGCAGGCAGGUAAGGUAGGAGAGGUUAGGUUAGGUAAGUAGUGGGCAGACAGGUAAGGUAGGAGAGGGUAGGUUAGGUAAGUAGUGGGUCGACAGGUAAGGUAGGUUAGGUAAGUAGUGGGUCGACAGGUUAGGUAAGUAGUGGGCAGACAGGUAAGGUAGGAGAGGGUAGGUUAGGUAAGUAGUGGGCAGGCAGGUAAGGUAGGAGAGGGUAGGUUAGGUAAGUAGUGGGUAGACAGGUAAGGUA